rnacentral:rRNA from 1 species
UACGUAGGGUGCGAGCGUUAAUCGGAAUUACUGGGCGUAAAGCGAGCGUAGUCGGUUAUCUAAGUCGGGUGUGAAAGCCCCGGGCUCAACCUGGGAAUUGCAUUCGAUACUGGAUAGCUAGAGUGCGGUAGAGGGAAGCGGAAUUUCCGGUGUAGCGGUGAAAUGCGUAGAUAUCGGAAGGAACAUCAGUGGCGAAAGCGGCUUCCUGGACCAGCACCGACGUUCAGGCACGAAAGCGUGGGGAGCAAACAGG